CGGCAAAGUUCUUUGAGCAGUCUUGUGCUUUCAAAUUGUUUAAUCAGGACAGAAGUCCCCAAACACAAAUAGAUGAAGUUCCUAUCAAAGAGGAUCUAAAAAUUGAAGGAGGUGAAGGUGCCUAUGAUGAGACAUUAAUUCAUAUCCAUGAUGAUCUUGUUUCCGGAGAAGUGGAGCUAAAACGCAGAAGCUUAUCAUUGGAACCUAUAUCUCAUCCUGAUCAAAACAAAUAUCAUUCAUCUACAGAACCUUCCAAAGAUGUAAAGUUAGAACUAUCUACAGACCAAAUUUCAUCUACAUCAUUAGCAUCAGUGACUAAUGAUAAUACAAAUGCUAAAAGUACCUCCCGUUCAGUUGGUUGCUCUGAAUAUCAUCUUGCAUCUAAGACACAAAAUCUUGAGGUAAAUG
rnacentral:misc_RNA from 1 species